rnacentral:rRNA from 1 species
AUGGUAUCUUGGAGUGACGGAUCGAGCUCGUCCUCCGACGGCUACUCUGUGACAAGUGAGGCUCCUGCUCCUGCCACCAUUUUCUGCUCUGAGUGGACAGGCCUUGCUCCAGAUAUUGCAGCUAGAUGUGAACACCAGUGUGUGUGUGAGAAGUUUGUGUGCUUUGAAUCAGUUGACAGUGGAAGGAGGUAUCUUGCUUGUGCUCAAAAGGAAAUACCUAAAUGCAAGUUUGUGGAGUGGAUUGACCCUGAAUGGCCAGACACUCUGAAGAUGAGUUUAGCCAGGGUUUGGGCCAUGUAUGAUGAUGAGGUAAAGCUGAGGCUCAGGGAAAGUGUAGUUCUUGCUGAAGAAAAUUUUAGGGUUGUGAAAGAGAAGGAAAAGAUGGCAAAUGAUCUGAGGUUUUUUAAACUAGAUUUUGCUAAGAUGGUGGGUGACAAGGAGCAGGCAGUUACUGAAUUGGGCAAUGCAAGACUUGCUCUUUCUGACCUAAAGGAAGAGCUUCAGAAGAAGAAGAUGGCUGAUAAAUCUACCACUAGCAUUCAUCAGGUUGUGAGGGCUAAGGCAGAGAAAGAGAUGGAUGAGAUGAAACAACAGAUGGAGAGCAUGAAGGAAGAGUUGGACAAAGUGGUGUCACAGAGGGAUGAGCUGAAGAAGGAGAAGAAGAAACUAGAGUACAUGAUUGGUGAUCUAUUCAGGCACAAGGAGGAGACCAAGAGCAAGAUAAGGAGGCUGAAGGAGAUCUUAGAUGAAUCUGAGUAA